rnacentral:sRNA from 1 species
UUAUUCAUGAUAAUAUUAGUUACUAAUUUUGAGAAAAAAAUCUAUUAUAUUAUUUAUAAAAUGUGAUAUCCGUCAAUGCUGAAGAUAAAUGGUUUUAGUAGAAAAGCAUUUUCAGGCCGAUUUGACCCGACUGAGUUCAAACGGAUGUAUGUGGAGCUUUUACAAAAUAAAGUUGACUCAUUUUUAGUUAUCUAUUUUGUAUUUACUUUAUCAGCGUUGGAUUAAGUAAGACAAUGACAAUCUUUGGAAGUUACAUCGUCUCGUUGGAAUACGCACAAAUGAAGUCUCACUCAGGCUACGAUGACCAAUCCAAGCAAUAGAGGAGAGAUUAAGAGUCUUAGAGUCAAACUGGUCUGCAAAGAACUUUAUAAAGUGAUGAGGAUCAAAUGUAGAAGAUUUGAAGAUGACAUAGAAGAAAUUUUCGAAUUCACAUGUAAUUAUAAGUCUUUUGGUUUUGAUUCAUGAAUAAAGUGAUUCUUUCUUCGUUAAUGAUUGAGAUUUCGGUUUAGAUUUUUUUUUUAGUCUAAAUUAAGGUCAACAACACGUUUGAAUCUUUAUUCAUCUUUUUUUUACGGCUCUAAUAUCUCUUAAUUUUACUCGAUUUGGUGUUAUUUAAAUUUCGAUUCGGCCGUUGAAUACCUGAAAUUUUGCUAGGUCAAGUUAUUCAAAUCUUUUUAACAGAGAUAUUUACUAUUUGCGAGUUUAUAAAUGUGUGUGCAUUUUUCGUAAAAGAAUCAAAAAUUUCUUUUUUGGAGUUUUGUGUCGAUAGAUG